CCACUCUUUUUCAUAACAGGAAACUAUGUGAUGAAAUAAACUUGAUAUGCUGGUUUUUGAAUAUUACGCAUAACAAAAUGUACGUUUAUCUGCUCUCUGUUUUGGCGGUUUUGUUGACUUUUGAUAUCAGGAUAGAUACCCAGUUUUGUGGAAAUAUAAAUGGAAAAGGACCUUGCUGUGAAAAUUACUACUAUAACAGCAACGACAAUCAGUGUUUAGCGUGUCCACUAGGAUCGUACGGAAUAAAUUGUUCCAAAGUGUGCAUUCCUCCAAAAUAUGGCCACCUGUGCUAUGACGAGUGCAAAUGUCCCAUGGAGAAGUGCCACAUUCAGCUUGGAUGCAUCAAUGAUCUCUCUGGAUAUCCUUCACACAACUCUACGGAAUCGGCGUUCACAAUUACCCCAAUUACAGCAUCUUCCAGUAAGCUUGUAGAACAGGGUUAUGAAACAGAUAUGAAUCUUUCAAUAACUAUCAGAACUACAGUAUCAAAUGAUGAUAGCAUGACAUAUGGAUAUGAUGAAAAUUACCAAUAUUGGCAACAACACAUUUAUGUCAUCAUAUCAAUUGGAGUAGUUACCAUAGCAAUCGCAUCAAUUAUUAGCGCUCUGUGCUGUAAAAGGCGGUUCCAAAGAUCAACAACAACAACUUCUGUACAACAAAGAGAUGGAGUAAUCUUAGGAAACGGCACAUUGAGAGAGGAAGACGAAACUUACAUGGAAAUUGAUGAGAGUCUGUCGCAACAAAGAGAGAGAAAAGUUUCAUCGACAAAUGUGCUGAGAGAGAGAUACGACCAGCUCGUACAGGAAACGCAUACAGAUUCAAAAUAUCAUGACCUUCACAAAUUGCAAUUACGGAGUAACACGAGAUUUCCUACUCAUUUAUUGAGCCCUGGUCCGGAAAAUCAUCAGAAGCGUACAUUUCAACGGUCACAUUCCUGGCAUAAUCUCACAAUUGUCUCAAAGACCAACAAGCUGACAAAAACAAAUAGUUAUCUUGAACUCUCAGAGGACAACUACCUAGAUGCAGUUUUUCUUACACGUGAUGCAUAUUCUUAUCAAAAUCUUGAUAAUAUUCAAUCAAACAAACCUUAUAUCCAAUAUGACGAUUUUCUUGGCAUUAUCAAACAGACCUGAUACCCAAAAUAAUCAAGUCAUUUGCUGUCAGAUGAGGGUUUUUUAUUUGUAUAAUUAAAUUUCAAUCCUAUUUUUUUUCACUUACGUAUAAAUAUUAUUGAUACAUCUAAUGACAUCGUUUAUAUUGGAAAACUGACGGUUUCGGUUACAAGUAUAGGUUGGAUAAUAGCGGGCAGUCCCAGUAGUUUUUCGUAGUUGAAGGACGGUCUAUCAUACAUGUAUAUAUAUAUAUAAAGAGAUAUAUAUAUAUAUAUAUCGCUUUUUGGACCCAACUGUAUACACUUUCUAACCCCGUAUUGAAACGAUACCAUUUAGUGAGUGUUUAGACAUCAUUGCAUUUUGCAGUAAGGUUGCUUUAAGAUAAAUAGCAUUUUAAAAAGUUUAUUAUGACGAUUAUGCAGUACUCGUGAGUGGUUUCAAUUCGGCGUAGGGAAUAUGCACGUUAUGAUCCAAUUAAUAAACGAGAAAUCCCAUUAUAAUUUCCUUGUUCGAGUUCGAUUUAAUGUGGCAAUACAUUAUCAACGUAGUCUGCAUAUUCACUUAGUUAUAGAUGGUUUAAAAAAUGCAUUUUAUUUAUUUGAAAUUCUAUACUUAUAUUCAUGUACUUGCACUACUGAACCUUAAGUUGCUAACAAGUUCUCAGUUCUGUGGCACGUGAGUACUAUUUACUUUUCUUUCAACAUUCGAAAUUUUGGAUUUUCCUUUCAUCCAAACAAAACGCGUGCUGUAUAAAUGGUGUAUUUAUAUAUUUUUUACUUCGUAGCAGAUUUGGAGAGAUAGAUUAUUGUUGUGAUAAUUAUUUUUACGACGAUGUAAACAAAAACUGUAUCGGUAAGUACAUGUACUCAUAGUGUCUUUGUUAUUUAAAUUUACUUACAUUUCAAAACCUGUGAUUUUCUAUCGGAUAAUGCCAAAAUAACAAUUGUAAUAUCUAUUGUGUUUAGCUCUACUAAAUUAUUACAUAUGCAAGACCAUCAUGAUAAUUCUUUUAAACCUUAAGGUACAGUUUGAAGUGUGCGAUUGAGCACCACAGUAAAUACACAUGUACCGUGUACAUACAUAAGUACAAGUAUCAUUCAAUAUCUUUCUAAAUAGAGCUCUUUUCAGGAUUGAUAUACUCCAGAGUGUUUAUUUGAAUUCGACCUAAAACUGAGGCGCAAGGAAAUUAAUAUGAAACCUUUGAAAUAUUAUUCUUAUACUUGAACCAUUGUGGUACAUAAUUUUUUGAAACAAAAGAAAAGAUCUUUAAAAGACAAUGUGAGGCUGGGGUAAAGGCUGGGUGAUAUUAAAAGAUAUGCAUGUACCUUCGUUGACAUGGAUUCUCACUCAAAUAACAAAUACGUCACAUUCAAUUUACAGCCACGCCACAUUAUUCGUCGUACUUCAUCCAAAUCCCAGGAUGAAGAUUGUUAGGUAUUCUGUACAUGUAUAAUAUAUGUAUAUCAAUCAUUUAUCACUUUCACGGAGCUUGGUAAAUGUGCAUAUGAAAGGUGAAGAUAUCGAACAGUGAUCAAUCUCAUAACUCCUACAAGCAAUACAAAAUAGAUAGUUGGGCAAACACGGACCCCUGGACACACCAGAGGUGGGAUCAGGUGCCUAGGAGGAGUAAGCAUCCCCUGUCGAUAUAAAAAUUAAUUUGACAAUGAAAGUAAUAUAUACUUUUGUAUCAAAAACAACACCAGACUUCUAAGUUGGCUCAUAGUGACAUGUGCUGUAAUCUGGGAUGAGCUGAUACAAUAUCCUUUACAUUCCUGUACAUUUUCUGAUUUCAUAGGGACAUAUACAUGUAAUAUAAUCUUUUUGUAGAAUGUCCCAUAGGCUCCUACGGCAAGAAUUGUUCCAAGACGUGCGUUAAACCCAAGUUCGGAUGGCUCUGCUACUACACAUGUGAAUGCGACCUUGAUGAAUGUAGCAUAAUACACGGGUGUCAAAAUAAUAGCGUAGUAACACCGUUCUCUCAUGUUGCUUCAAGUGUUGAGGAAGCUUACGAUACACCAAGUUCAAGAUCUGGACCAGUCAUAAGUCCUUUUCAUUUGCAAACUACAGAAAUAAUCCAGACCGCAAAGACAUUCCCAAACAUCGAUGACAAUAACAGCAACAUCGUGGUAGUGAUGACUAUUUCAAUUGCUUCCGGUGUCAUUUUCAUUUGGAUAUGUGCUUUUACUAUCUUUUGUUGCGUUACCCGAAGAAAAGCAUCUGUUUACAUUCAAAGCACACAUAAUCCCCCAUCUGACUCGAACGAACUGACUAUAUCUCCGGUACACAAUCUUGAAACUGAUAUAUACAUGGAAAUUGAAGAAACUUCGGGUAUAAGGAGAAUAGAGGCGACUAAACAAGAAGAGACUGUGAUUAAAACGAGCUAUGAUAAGUUAUCCAAAUCAGUAUCGGAUUCCUCGAAGUACAGUGAAAUUGGUAAAUAUUACACAGACAUUGAGAAAUACAAAACGUUUACCACACACAGAGCCUUUUACAUCCAGCAGAAGUUGAUGCGACACCGCUCCUGGCACCAUCCGCUGGACACGUUAUACAUGCCGAAUACACCAAAGAUGGCCAAUAGUUAUAUAGAAUUGUGUGAUGACAAUACUUAUUUACAGGCCAUUCAUGCUUUCGAAAAUAUUGCAGAUUGUAAAAAAUUCAUUUAUUCAAAUUUGUCCGCUAAUCAGUAUUUAAAUGUUCAUACUAAUUCUGCAAGAUUCGAACCAAAACGGGCAGUGUCGUAUGACGAUUUUAUUGGCAUUCUACAAUAAAUUGGAUUUUGCAUCUA